AUGGUACUCCCUCCGUCCGAAAAAGCUUGUCCCUCAAAUGAAUGUAUCUAGCACCAAGUUAGUGCUAGAUACAUCCAUUUGAAGAACAAGCUUGGGACAUUUUUUCCGGAUGGAGGAAGUACUGA
rfam:Triticum urartu cultivar G1812 contig850925, whole genome shotgun sequence.